UCUAGAGUGUGUAUAGGGAUUGGACAGGUAAAGGGGGUACCCCUCCGUCCCAUAUCCUGCCUGGUAUACCCAAGACAGUUGUUCAGCAAAUUACCUUUCAUUGCUGAUUGACACCUGGGAAUAAAUCGAAAGGAAUCAAGCCACAGUUGCCUCGAGUCCAUUUUUGGCCUGGUUUUGCGCCUCCUGUCCUCCUUAAUUGGCAGACGGAUCUCCACCCUCCUGACAACUGCAGAAGGACCUGACCGCUACAUUAUCCAGGCUGAAGCAGAGGGGUCCUAGCUCGUAGAGGUCAAAGGCACAUUUAUUACAAGAGAAGUUUGUGUUCUCGAACAGAAUCGGAUCCGAGGAACAUGCAAUGUCAAUGGUGAAACCUCAUCACAACUAAAUUCAUUUUCUUCUGCGGAACUUGGUCGGCUACAAAAGGAAGACGGUGAACUCCGUGAGAUCUGGAGACGUUAGUCUAUCAGAGGGCAACCCUGGCAGAUGCAGUUUCUGAAGCUCCAACCCCGACAGUGAGGCCAGCAAUGCGCCAUCUACUUGCAUUCAAACCCAUGGAAAGGCUCGCAGUAGAUUUCCUACAGCUGGAGAGAGGUCGGGUGGCUUUGAACAGGUUCUUGUGAUUGACUGACUGUUUCACUACAUGUAAGUACACUACAUGUAAGUACGCAUUGGCAAUUCCGUGCAAAGACGAAACUGACACAGUCGUUACAAGAGUAUCGCGGGAUCAUGUUGGUUUUCGCGUUUAAUAUAGGGUCCCUGUUCAAAUUCACCCCGACCAAUGUCGCAACUUUGAGAGUAACCUGGUUAGAGAACUGUGAAGUUGUACGGCCUGCAAAAAUCCCGCACAAGUCCACAUCAUCCAACAGGGAAUGGCCAAACCGAGUGGUGGAGCAGAACACUUUGCUCACUCAUUUGAUCCUUGGACAGCAUGGAAAGGAAGCAAUGGGCCGAGCUCUUAUCACGUCAAACCUUCAUCUACAACAUUUGGCAUUGUACCUCCCCCCUAUUGUUUGGACAAGAAUCUACCAUCCCUUUGGACCAUGUGAUUGGCAAAGCCAAACACGAACACAAAGAUAACUUUGUACAACAGCAAGUGCAGCUCAUUCAAAGGGCGUACAUCACCACCAAAGAAUGUCUUCUUAAGGCAGCAGAAUCAAGGAAGAGAAGUCAUGACUCCCGUAGCUGGGGUGAACCAAUAAAAGUUGGAAGUAGAGUCCGCGUCAAGAAAUGUGCUUUCACAGGCAGGCACAAACUGAGUGAUGCAUUUCAUGAAGAGCAGUACGUUGUCGUAAGAUGCAGCGAAAACCACUUGCUUGCAGUCUGCCCUAUUUAUGGUUGCUCUGAGAAGUGGCUGAAUCGCAAAUGGUUAUACCUAGAUGGGGGGGGGGCUAGACGUACCUGAGAAGACCUUCGAGGUAUUACCACCCAUAGUUGAAUCCUUUGAGAGUGAGGUCGAAUCGCGCACCGAAAUCUUCCUCCGACGAAGAACUAAUGAUAGUUUCACAGGGCUUUUCCCCCCCAACAGCAGGAGGGGCACCCAGCAACCCCUCUUUGCUGCAGCGUGAAGACACCAUACCAUAAGCGUUUGGGAGCAAACAGGCCGGGACAAGUAUCUGUGGGUACAUUUACUCAUCGCAACGUCGUUUCAAUUCACUGUUCGAACAGGUUUUGGCGAAGGGGUAUCCAUCAGUUGAAACAUUUGUCCAGAAGCGUACAAACUACCCAAAAUGGCUGAAAGAUGCCUGCCACUUAAGUGAAGAAAGGAUGCAAAGAUAUUGCAAAAACUUAAGGAGUGAUUUGUUGGGUUUAAAAACCUAGAUGCUGAGGAUGAGCUGUAAGAUAGUAGUGAGGUUUGUGUCGAGUGGUUGCUCUGUAAAUGUUGAAAGGAUGGCUUCACCCGCACUCAAAUGCAGUUUGGCCAAGCCUAAAAAGAGCACAAUGUAGUUAGCCAUGGAAUCUGUGCAUUGUCUAAUUGUGGCAUUUUGAGGUUCAAAUUAGUCACGAUUAAUAAUUGUUAUGGGGGAAUUUAUUGUUUAGAUGUUAACGUGGAUUCUCGAGUUACAAAAUGAUUCAAAUUUCUUGAACACAGAAGGUAAAAUAGGAGGAUCAGUUUUAUAUGCCAAUUUCUCUAUAAGAGUGACGAAUGAUCUUAAAUCCAGAGCAUAUGAGGAAUUUCGAAAUAGUGUACACCUCAUUUUUUAAAUUGAUGUUGAUCUACAAAUACUGAUGUUAGUAGUGGGAGGGGGUCAGUUGGGCACACUUUGACCUUGAAAUAUAGCACAAUUUGACCUUUGGAGAUGGUGGCAUUAAUACGCAUAAGUAUAAUAAUUAUGAUCAUAAAAAUAUGAAUAGGAAUGAAGAUAGGGCCAAAAAUUCUGGCACAGAUUGACCUUUGGUAAGGGAUAGGCAUAAGGUCAGAAAGUCUGGCACAGGUUGAUCCAGGAGUAUGGGAUAAGAUGGGAAUAAAGCAUAGAACGAGGUAAAAAUUUUGGGUACAAUUUUAUCUUGCUUAUGAAAAAAAAAUAGUGGAUUAGUCGAAGGUGUGGCGUCAUGGAAACAAUACAGACGGGCCUACAGGGAGGUCCAAAAGUAAUUAGGAAGUAGGAAGCGAUAAUCCCUAAACAAAAGGACCGGGUUGGGAGUGAUAAUUCCAAAACAAAGGGCUGUACAUAGGGGUUGAGUUGUGUUGGCGGACUAUUGUGUUAAUGAUUACAUUGUGUACGUUGGAAGUGAGCGUUGGUCCGACUUAACCUUUGGACACUAAAGGAGAGAGGGUGCCCAUGUGCUAACGGUCUUGCAUUUAGCUUACUAUGGCUACCAAGAUUUGAUCGAUACGGGAAGAAGACUCUUCAUAUAUACGAACAAGUAUACAAACUGCUCAAUGUAUUGCUCUUUUAGUCGUUUUAUUACUCUUUUACUCUUCGAAUGCAGCAACGACGAUCUCCUCAAAGAAACAAUUCAAAUCUGCGCUCAGAUCACAGUGUUCUCGAUGCACCUUCAUUGUCUGAACCCGCUUUCGUUGAACUCAUGAAUAUGGCAAAAACGGUGUUGUGUUUAAUUCCAAUUACUGUAUGUGUACACACAGACCGAUGACGUAGCCAUGGGGCCCACUGCUGGGCCCCAUUCUUGCCAAAAAAAAUGUAAAUCACCAUAAAAACAAAAUGUCUGCAACUUGCCCGCGGCAUGCACACUACUUGUAUACUAUCGUCACGUGGAUGAUACGUUUGCCAUGUUUGACUUAACCGUGGCAUGCAACGCCUUAUUUGUAGGCCUUAGGCCUAAUGAUCUCCAUCCCUCGCUUAAGUUCACUUGUGAGAUGAAGCAAGCCGGUGCACUCCCGUUCCUUGAAGUUCUUGAAAAAUCGACUCUUGGUUUUACAACUUCUGUUCACCGUAAACCCACGUUCACAGGACAAAACACGCACUGGGAUUCGAACAGUUUCACCAGUACAAAAUCGGCCUGGUUUAAAUACUGGUUUCUAGGGCAACGCACAUCUGCUCUCCUUGUAAAUUAGACGAUGAAAUUGGCCCAUCAAUCCUGCCCAAAAACAGAUAUCCUCAACAAACACGUAACCCGUUCCCUAACAAAUCGGUUCAAACCACCGCCUUACGGACUGUAAGAAAGUCCCUCACUGUCGACUGACCGCGCCAUAGUUGGUAGGGCGCCCUCAGUAGUUUGCUCAUUCUUGCACCGUACUGUGACGGAA